CCAGUGCGCAUCGUUGUGUGUCGGAUACUUAGUGUUUGCUGCCUUCUACUGUGAUCAUGUGUGUGCAUCUGUGUUCUGCCCGAAAGGGCUGUUUGUACGGGACCCAGAGUCUCGCCAUGAGUUGCUAGGCGCCCCCCUUCUUCGCCCUGCGGCCAUGAGGGCACAACUUCCGGAAGACCACCACCACCACCGCCUCCACACCAUGGGGUCCUUUUCCUACACCCCGUGGACUUUGCCACCCACUGUGACCGACUUUUGAGAGUGACGUCAGCCAUUUUCGUCACCAUGUGAAGAUGUGUGUGUGACGGCCGGGGGAGGCGCCCCCUGCGCCGUAUCUGUUGUGUGUUUUCGUCGCCAAAAAUGUUGUUUGGCGGCGCAACUAUGGUGAGUUAUUGUCGUCACCACUGUAAAGAAAUCCAUGGGCCCUUGGUAUCUGUAUAUAUAUAAUUUUAGUGUUGAGCUCAACAAAGGUUUAUUCUAUUUAUUAAAUUAGUUGUACAGUAUUAUUUGUACUUUUAGUGUGUGAGCGGUUGUUUAAGUUUUCCGCUAUAUUAUUUAACUCUAGUUUGCUAAAUACCGGCCGGUUCUCAAAUCUCCUUUUUUAUGGUACCGUACACUGUGUAACAUUGUUAUAUGUUUGUGUUACCGAGAGUUUUUAUAUCCUCUGGGUUUUUUUCGACGAUUCUGUCGUAUUCUUCUUUGGAGCCAUGAGUGCUCGCUUUACAUGCCCCCCCCCCCUAUUGAUGGGUUAAUUCGGGCUAAUAACAGUUGUAUUACUGUUCUUAUUUUGCCAUGGCACUAUUUAAGUUUGAGUAAAUUUGCAUACUCGAUUUUGAGUUUCUUGCUGCAGCUGCUUUAAUUACUCUGGUCCCCGUUUAUGGGUUAGGCCCUUUCAUUUCCUCCACAUACGUUUUGUCCGGAACACUGUUUAUGUGUAUGUUCCUGUGUGGGGAUAUUUUUACCAUGUGCCAUGAUAUCACUGUGCCCUCUUAGGUUUCGUACCGUUCUGAUCUGUGAUCUGUCAGUGUUGAGAUGAGAUUUGUUGCACUGUUAUGGUUUUGUGUCACACUGUUGCUAUUGUGUUUAUGUUGCACUGUUGUGUUCUUGGGUUACAAUUGGUAUGCAGUGAUGAUGCAUUGUUGUGUUGUUUGGAACGUUUGGUGCUGUGUUACGUGAAGAGUUACACUGUUUGUUUGAUUGUGUUAUACCUUUAAAAUGUAGUGUUGUGCUGUCGUGUUUCAUGUAGCAGUUCUAAUCUCUGGCAUCAAGUUAUGUUUGUCUGUGAUGAAAUAAUCCUUUUGUUUGUUCCUUUUGAGAAAAUACAUUUAAAUGUCAGUUCUGAGAAUGUUUAUUAUGUCUAUAUAUUUUAAUCUAUUAUCGUGGGUUCGCGCCCCACUGUAUUGUGUUAAUCUAUGCAAUAUAUAUUUAUAACUGCUACUUUUGCCCAAAUAGUUUAUCAAUAAACUUGUUAUAUUAUAACUU